CAACUCUUAGCGGUGGAUCACUCGACUCGUG
rnacentral:rRNA from 1 species